UAAUACGUAGGGGGCGAGCGUUGUCCGGAGUUACUGGGCGUAAAGGGCAUGCAGGCGGUCAGGCGCGUUUUGUGUGACAGCGGAUGGCUUAACUAUCCGAGGAUACGAAAGACGGCGUGACUUGAGAGCGCGAGAGGGACACGGAAUUCCGGGUGGAGUGGUGAAAUGCGUAGAGAUCCGGAGGAACACCGAAGGCGAAGGCAGUGUCCUGGCGUGCAUCUGACGCUGAGGUGCGAAAGCCAGGGGAGCGAACGGG
rnacentral:rRNA from 1 species